rnacentral:misc_RNA from 1 species
UCUCCGUUGGUGAACCAGCGGAGGGAUCAUUACAGAGUUUUAUACUCCAAACCACUGUCUACCUACCUUAACGUUGCUUCGGCAGGAGGCCCCAGGGCGGGGCCGUUGGGUGCCUGCCGGAGGUCUACAAACUCUUGUUUUUACCUGUACACGUCUGAGCUAAAACAAAUAAGUUAAAACUUUCAACAACGGAUCUCUUGGUUCUGGCAUCGAUGAAGAACGCAGC